rnacentral:ncRNA from 1 species
UCUUUUUUAUUAAAAUUAUACAUGCAAGUCUCAACAUACCAGUGAAAAUGCCCACAACCCCUAAAAAGUAAACAUGGAGCAGGCAUCAGGCACUACUAUUAAGCCCAUAACGCCUUGCCACGCCACACCCUCACGGGAAAAUCAGCAGUAAUAAAUAUUGGACCAUAAGCGAAAGCUUGAUCCAGUUAUAAUAAUUUUAGGGCUGGUCAAUUUCGUGCCAGCCACCGCGGUUAUACGAAAAGCCCAAAAUAACGAUAACGGCGUAAAAUGUGACUAGAGAUCNNNNNNNNNNNNNNNNNNNNNNNNNNNNCUUCCGAUCUUAAAAUACUUAAGAAAUAGAGAAAACCAACACAAAUAUUUUUGAUAUUAUUAUCUUGACCCCACGAAAGCUUAGAAACAAACUAGGAUUAGAUACCCUACUAUGCUAAGCCAUUAACAUUGAUUGACCACCAUACAAUACUUUCCGCCAGAGAACUACAAGUGAAAAACUUGAAACUCAAAGGACUUGACGGUGUCCCAUAUCGACCUAGAGGAGCCUGUCCUAUAAUCGAUACUCCCCGCUCCACCCAACCUCAACUAGCAAAUUAUCAGCCUAUAUACCGCCGUCGACAGCCUACCCUAUGAAGGUCCAAUAGUAGACAAAAUAGCCCUAUCGCUAAUACGUCAGGUCAAGGUGUAGCAAAUGUUAAGGAAGAGAUUGGCUACAUUUUUUAGUAUAAAAAACACGAAAAGCACUAUGAAACCGUUCAUGAAGGUGAAUUUAGUAGUAAAAUAAAUAAGAGAGUUUAUUUUAACACCGCUCUGGGACGCGUACACACCGCCCGUCACCCUCCUCAACAACAAAUAUAAUUUAUAUAAACCAAGAAACAAAUCAAGAGGAGGCAAGUCGUAACAUGGUAAGCGUACCGGAAGGUGUGCUUGGACUAAC